rnacentral:rRNA from 1 species
CGGAUUGUAGUCUGCAACCCGACUACAUGAAGCUGGAAUCGCUAGUAAUCGCGGAUCAGAAUGCCGCGGUGAGUACGUUCCCGGGUCUUGUACACACCGCCCGUCACACCAUGGGAGUCGGAAAUGCCCGAAGUCUGUGACCCAACCUACGGGAGGGAGCAGCCGAAGGCAGGUCGGAUGACUGGGGUGAAGUCGUAACAAGGUAAC